rnacentral:rRNA from 1 species
UUGUGAGGCUGAUGUGUAGGCAAAUCCGCACAUCGUUAAGGCUGGGCGGUGAUGGGGAGCGAAAAUUGCAGUAGCGAAGGUCAUGAGUUCAGGCUGCCAAGAAAAGCCUCUAGCCAGGUGAAGGUGCCCGUACCGCAAACCGACACAGGUAGGCGAGCAGAGUAUGCUAAGGCGCUCGGAAGAACUCUCGUUAAGGAACUCGGCAAAAUGACCCCGUAACUUCGGGAGAAGGGGUGCCUCGGUAGGGUGAAUAGCCCGAGGGGGCCGCAGUGAAAAGGCCCAAGCGACUGUUUAGCAAAAACACAGGUCUGUGCGAAGCCGUAAGGCGAAGUAUACGGGCUGACGCCUGCCCGGUGCUGGAAGGUUAAGGGGAGUGGUUAGCCGCAAGGCGAAGCUAUGAACCGAAGCCCCAGUAAACGGCGGCCGUAACUAUAACGGUCCUAAGGUAGCGAAAUUCCUUGUCAGGUAAAUUCUGACCCGCACGAAUGGCGUAACGACUUGGGCGCUGUCUCAACGAGAGAUCCGGUGAAAUUUUAAUACCUGUGAAGAUGCAGGUUACCCGCGACAAGACGGAAAGACCCCAUGGAGCUUUACUGCAGCUUGAUAUUGGACUUUGGUACGAUCUGUACAGGAUAGGUGGGAGCCUUGGAAGCCGGAGCGCCAGCUUCGGCGGAGGCAUCGUUGGGAUACCACCCUGAUCGUAUCGGAGUUCUAACCUGGUACCGUGAUCCGGUACAGGGACCGUGUCAGGUGGGCAGUUUGACUGGGGCGGUCGCCUCCUAAAAUGUAACGGAGGCGCCCAAAGGUUCCCUCAGAAUGGUUGGAAAUCAUUCGUAGCGUGCAAAGGCAUAAGGGAGCUUGACUGCGAGACCUACAAGUCGAGCAGGGACGAAAGUCGGGCUUAGUGAUCCGGUGGUACCGCAUGGAAGGGCCAUCGCUCAACGGAUAAAAGCUACCCUGGGGAUAACAGGCUUAUCUCCCCCACGAGUCCACAUCGACGGGGAGGUUUGGCACCUCGAUGUCGGCUCAUCGCAUCCUGGGGCUGAAGUAGGUCCCAAGGGUUGGGCUGUUCGCCCAUUAAAGCGGUACGCGAGCUGGGUUCAGAACGUCGUGAGACAGUUCGGUCCCUAUCUGUCGUGGGCGUAGGAAAUUUGAGAGGAGCUGUCCUUAGUACGAGAGGACCGGGAUGGACGCACCGCUGGUGUACCAGUUGUUCCGCCAGGAGCAUAGCUGGGUAGCUACGUGCGGACGGGAUAAGCGCUGAAAGCAUCUAAGCGUGAAGCCCCCCUCAAGAUGAGAUUUCCCAGUAUGUAAGACCCCUGGAAGACGACCAGGUUGAUAGGUUCGAGGUGGAAGCGCAGCAAUGCGUGGAGCUGACGAAUACUAAUCGGUCGAGGGCUUAUCCGA